UACGUAGGGUGCAAGCGUUGUCCGGAAUCAUUGGGCGUAAAGAGCGUGUAGGCGGCCAGAUAAGUCCGCUGUGAAAACUCGAGGCUCAACUUCGAGCUGUCGGCGGAAACUAUCUGGCUAGAGUCCGGAAGAGGAGAGUGGAAUUCCUGGUGUAGCGGUGAAAUGCGCAGAUAUCGGGAGGAACACCAAUGGCGAAGGCAGCUCGCUGGGACGGUACUGACGCUGAGACGCGAAAGCGUGGGGAGCAAACAGG
rnacentral:rRNA from 1 species